GGCCUUUUUAAAGGGGGAUUUUUCCCAAUAUUUAAAUCAAAUAAAUAACAUUAACACAAUAAACAACAAUUGAAAAUGUUUUUUUUAGAUUACAGUAUAAAGACAAUAAUAGUGCAUUGACUUGACAUAUCAACGAUAUAAGGAUUCGGCCCGAAACGGGGAAAAUGCUCGGCACAGCCUCGCAUUUCCCCGUUUCUAAGCCUC
rnacentral:lncRNA from 1 species